rnacentral:rRNA from 1 species
UACGUAGGGUGCAAGCGUUGUCCGGAAUUAUUGGGCGUAAAGAGCUCGUAGGCGGUUUGUCGCGUCUGCUGUGAAAUUUCGGGGCUCAACCCCGAACUUGCAGUGGGUACGGGCAGACUAGAGUGUGGUAGGGGAGACUGGAAUUCCUGGUGUAGCGGUGAAAUGCGCAGAUAUCAGGAGGAACACCGAUGGCGAAGGCAGGUCGCUGGAACGGUACUGACGCUGAGGCGCGAAAGCGUGGGGAGCGAACAGG